rnacentral:rRNA from 1 species
CAGUAGGGAAACUUCCACAAUGGACGAAAGUCUGAUGGAGCAACGCCGCGUGAGUGAAGAAGGGUUUCGGCUCGUAAAACUCUGUUGUUAAAGAAGAACAUAUCUGAGAGUAACUGUUCAGGUAUUGACGGUAUUUAACCAGAAAGCCACGGCUAACUACGUGCCAG